GACGAACGCUGGCGGCGUGCUUAACACAUGCAAGUCGAACGGUGAAGCGCCUUCCUUUUUGGUGGGUGUGGAUGAGUGGCGAACGGGUGAGUAACACGUGAGUAACCUGCCCCCUUCUUCUGGAUAACCGCAUGAAAGUGUGGCUAAUACGGGAUAUUCUGGGUCUGUCGCAUGAUGGGUCUGGGAAAGAUAUUGUUUCGGUGGGGGAUGGGCUCGCGGCCUAUCAGCUUGUUGGUGGGGUGAUGGCCUACCAAGGCGGUGACGGGUAGCCGGCCUGAGAGGGUGGACGGUCACACUGGGACUGAGACACGGCCCAGACUCCUACGGGAGGCAGCAGUGGGGAAUAUUGCACAAUGGGCGCAAGGCUGAUGCAGCGACGCCGCGUGAGGGAUGGAGGCCUUCGGGUUGUGAACCUCUUUCGCCAGUGAAGCAGGCCUGCCUCGUUUGUGGGUGGGUUGACGGUAGCUGGAUAGGAAGCGCCGGCUAACUACGUG
rnacentral:rRNA from 1 species